CCUACGGGAGGCUGCAGUGGGGAAUAUUGGACAAUGGGGGCAACCCUGAUCCAGCCAUGCCGCGUGUGUGAAGAAGGCCCUCGGGUUGUAAAGCACUUUCAGUGAGGAAGAACGCCUGGUGGUUAAUACCCAUCAGGAAAGACAUCACUCACAGAAGAAGCGCCGGCUAACUCCGUGCCAGCAGCCGCGGUAAUACGGAGGGUGCGAGCGUUAAUCGGAAUUACUGGGCGUAAAGCGCGCGUAGGUGGCUUGAUAAGCCGGUUGUGAAAGCCCCGGGCUCAACCUGGGAACGGCAUCCGGAACUGUCAAGCUAGAGUGCAGGAGAGGAAGGUAGAAUUCCCGGUGUAGCGGUGAAAUGCGUAGAGAUCGGGAGGAAUACCAGUGGCGAAGGCGGCCUUCUGGACUGACACUGACACUGAGGUGCGAAAGCGUGGGUAGCAAACAGGAUUAGAUACCCUAGUAGUC
rnacentral:rRNA from 1 species